rnacentral:rRNA from 1 species
AACGAACGCUGGCGGCAUGCCUAACACAUGCGAGUCGAACGAGACCUUCGGGUCUAGUGGCGCACGGGUGCGUAACGCGUGGGAACCUGCCCUUAGGUUCGGAAUAACUCCCCGAAAGGGGUGCUAAUACCGGAUAAUGUCUUCGGACCAAAGAUUUAUCGCCUUUGGAUGGGCCCGCGUUGGAUUAGCUAGUUGGUAGGGUAAAAGCCUACCAAGGCGACGAUCCAUAGCUGGUCUGAGAGGAUAAUCAGCCACACUGGGACUGAGACACGGCCCAGACUCCUACGGGAGGCAGCAGUGGGGAAUAUUGGACAAUGGGCGAAAGCCUGAUCCAGCAAUGCCGCGUGAGUGAUGAAGGCCUUAGGGUUGUAAAGCUCUUUUACCCGGGAUGAUAAUGACAGUACCGGGAGAAUAAGCGCCGGCUAACUCCGUG